rnacentral:rRNA from 1 species
UACGGAAGGCAGCAGUGGGGAAUAUUGCACAAUGGGCGCAAGCCUGAUGCAGCCAUGCCGCGUGUAUGAAGAAGGCCUUCGGGUUGUAAAGUACUUUCAGUCGUGAGGAAGGUGUUAAGGUUAAUAACCUUAGCAAUUGACGUUAGCGACAGAAGAAGCACCGGCUAACUCCGUGCCAGCAGCCGCGGUAAUACGGAGGGUGCGAGCGUUAAUCGGAAUUACUGGGCGUAAAGGGCACGCAGGCGGUUAAUUAAGUUGGAUGUGAAAUCCCCGGGCUUAACCUGGGAACUGCAUUUUGAAACUGAAAUACUAGAGUAUCGUAGAGGGAGGUAGAAUUCUAGGUGUAGCGGUGAAAUGCGUAGAUAUCUGGAGGAAUACCUGUGGCGAAAGCGGCCUCCUAAACGGAUACUGACACUGAGGUGCGAAAGCGUGGGGAGCAAACAGGGAUUAGAUACC